AGAAGAAUCUGGAUGUGCCCUCAGAGGCAGCUGGAGUUAAGUGAAGACAAGGGAGCUGCUGCCAAGGAGAGGCCAUCAAGUGAAGCCAGCAUGGGAGAGGUUAGGGCAGGGUGGAGCUUUUUAAAACCCUCUAAUUGUGCUGCUGCAUUUAAACAUGUUCAAAGUGCUGCUCAGGACAGAGUAUUGCAAGCAACACACAUUUUCCAUGAGGUUCACUGAUUUCAGAACAGCUAACACAGGAUACAGCCUCUUCAUGGAAAUUAUAUUUCCUCUUCUGUGUCUGCUGCACUUGGCACACAAUGGAGUCUCAUUACUCAACAGAGACUCUACGUUCCAUGAAAAAUAAAUAAUCAAACUCCAGCUAUUUCAGUAGCAAAGAUAGGCUUUAUCAUAGUACCAUGGUACACGGCCUGGGAGUUUCACACAAAUACUCCAGAAGGAUGAAAUGCUGUUUAGCUUCCACCAAAAGAGAGAAGCGAUGCACACCUGCCUCCCUGAGAUUCUCCAGCUGCACAGUUCUGAGGGCAGGACUGGCAGUGCUGCACUGGCAAUUCCUAGCAGUUGUGGGUAAGAGCAGAAUUUGGGGGGCCAGUGGGGCCCACCACUGGCUGAUCAGAGUGAUCAGCUUUGCUCUUGUGUCUAGAUUCAGCAGCUUCUUCUCAUCUGUAAUUUACUGUGUUUUCCUCUGAAAAUACAUCUUCCCUCCCCCUGGGGAAGUGUUAGGAAAUCUCUGGGUGUUCUCUUCAACAUAUGCUGUAGCUUCUACCCCGAGUACUUUUGGUGUUUGAGUAAUGAUGCAAAAACCAACAACCCCUCAAUUUGGAUGUAAUUUCUGAAUCACUCCAUUAGAAGUUUCCAGUGAAAGCCGAUGGAGGGAGAGGGUAUGUCAAUCAGAUCAUGUGGCUCUUGUGUAAUAAGUGCAGGCUUAAUCCCUGCUAAUGCCCUGCAAGCAUUGUCGAGACGGUGUUAUACAACCACCUGGAACUGCUGCCAGGUAAAGCCUUUGGGUGCCCACUGUGCAGCAGGAGGAGCGUGCAACCAGCAGGGGAAAUCCCACAGGGCAGGAUGAGCGUGUGUGGCACUGUGGGGCAGUGCUGGUGGCUCUUGGUGGUGCCCUGGCACCACCCUCAGUGCCUGAGCUGCCUCUUACCUCUGCCACGUAUGGCUGAACACGCUCUGGCAAGGACAGCUGCCACCUGCUCCUUUGCAAUGAGGACCUGGCUUCCAGAUUCUUAAACGUAAGGGAGGUGAAUCCAGAAGGCUGAUGGCAAAACAGUGAUGAAGAUUCAUUGCUACAGUGACCAGAGACAGAGGAUGCAGAGAAAAGCAACUUCACAUGAUUUAUGUCAGAAAGGUAUCUGCUGUAAGUUAGAACAGUCCUAAAGAUGCUGUGAUCUAUAGCAGCCUCCUAAGGCAAACCAGAAUCCCCUUUUCAUAAGAAAUAUAUCUGUUUAUGUAAAGAGGGAAAAAUAUGACAAGCCUUACAAUGUUCUUUCCUGCCCAGGAAAAAUCUGGAGCAUUAAAUGUGCAGAGUGACUUGGUGAAUCAAAGCUGGACAAUGGCUUUAAAUGUGCCACGUGUUCCUUGCUGGAGCUCUGUUGCUGACAGCUGAUGGCAGUUUACCAAUGGCUCUGGACAGUGGAAAAAGCAGACUCAAUGACAAGGAAGGAAGAGGAGAAAACCCCUCCCCUUCCUUACAACUGGAUUGAGGAAAUGGACCCUUAGCAUGGUGGUUUGUGACUAGGGCCCUGCUUUUGAAACGUGAUCCAUGUGUGCAAAUCCCACACAGACCAGAUGCCAAAACCGCAGUGAUUCUCUGACAUUUCAGUUGAGAAAGAGAACAAAUGUGCUCUGUACUCAUCUUUUCUUUUUUGAAACAAAAACAAUUAAAUUAACUUUGAAACAAGGGCUUUGAUUACCAUCUCUCUGGCGUCAUCUUUACGUUGAUGUAAUUCUAUAGGCUGGUGGCAUCACUGAUGAUUUGCACUGGUGUAAGAACAAUCAGGCUUUGUGUCUUCCAGGCAAUGAAGCUGCUUAUGUUUUGUGUAAAGAAAGAAACUCAGAUAAACAACUUUAAAGGGAAAUAAAUUAACCAAGAAAUUCAGAAGGAGCCAAAAGCAAUAUGAGCGCAUAUACAGCUACAAUAUUCCAACUGUAUUGCUAGUGUGAAAAAAAUACCCAGCCUAAUUAAGGAAGUAUUGACUUCACUAUAAAUGGGUACGCUGAUCUCUCUUGUUUUCGAGUUCUAAUUGACAU